rnacentral:rRNA from 1 species
UUGACCUCGGAUCAGGUAGGAAUACCCGCUGAACUUAAGCAUAUCAUAGGCC